rnacentral:rRNA from 1 species
GAUCAUGGCUCAGGAUGAACGCUAGCUACAGGCUUAACACAUGCAAGUCGAGGGGCAGCAUGGUCUUAGCUUGCUAAGGCCGAUGGCGACCGGCGCACGGGUGAGUAACACGUAUCCAACCUGCCGUCUACUCUUGGACAGCCUUCUGAAAGGAAGAUUAAUACAAGAUGGCAUCAUGAGUCCGCAUGUUCACAUGAUUAAAAGGUAUUCUGGUAGACGAG